rnacentral:tRNA from 1 species
GCCUUCGUGGUGUAACGGUAGCACACUCGGCGCGUAAUCGAGAGGUCCAGGUUCGAGUCCUGGCGAGGGCA